AGUGAACGCUGGCGGUAGGCCUAACACAUGCAAGUCGAACGGCAGCACAGUAAGAGCUUGCUCUUACGGGUGGCGAGUGGCGGACGGGUGAGGAAUACAUCGGAAUCUACUUUUUCGUGGGGGAUAACGUAGGGAAACUUACGCUAAUACCGCAUACGACCUACGGGUGAAAGCAGGGGAUCUUCGGACCUUGCGCGAUUGAAUGAGCCGAUGUCGGAUUAGCUAAUUGGCGGGGUAAAGGCCCACCAAGGCGACGAUCCGUAGCUGGUCUGAGAGGAUGAUCAGCCACACUGGAACUGAGACACGGUCCAGACUCCUACGGGAGGCAGCAGUGGGGAAUAUUGGACAAUGGGCGCAAGCCUGAUCCAGCCAUACCGCGUGGGUGAAGAAGGCCUUCGGGUUGUAAAGCCCUUUUGUUGGGAAAGAAAAGCAGCAGGUUAAUACCCCGCUGUUCUGACGGUACCCAAAGAACAAGCACCGGCUAACUUCGUG
rnacentral:rRNA from 1 species